rnacentral:tRNA from 1 species
GCCUGAGUGGCUCAGUCAGUUGAGCAUCUGACUUUGGCUUAGGUCGUGAUCUCACCGUUUGUGGGUUCAAGCCCCAUGUUGGGCU